CCAACGGCUCUUUUAAGAGCCACCCAGAUUUUCUCAGAAAGGGCUG
rfam:Cathartes aura contig141337, whole genome shotgun sequence.